AACGAACGCUGGCGGCAUGCCUAACACAUGCAAGUCGAACGAGACCUUCGGGUCUAGUGGCGCACGGGUACGUAACGCGUGGGAACCUGCCCUUAGGUUCGGAAUAACUCCCCGAAAGGGGUGCUAAUACCGGAUAAUGUCUUCGGACCAAAGAUUUAUCGCCUUUGGAUGGGCCCGCGUUGGAUUAGCUAGUUGGUAGGGUAAAAGCCUACCAAGGCGACGAUCCAUAGCUGGUCUGAGAGGAUGAUCAGCCACACUGGGACUGAGACACGGCCCAGACUCCUACGGGAGGCAGCAGUGGGGAAUAUUGGACAAUGGGCGAAAGCCUGAUCCAGCAAUGCCGCGUGAGUGAUGAAGGCCUUAGGGUUGUAAAGCUCUUUUACCCGGGAUGAUAAUGACAGUACCGGAAGAAUAAGCUCCGGCUAACUCCGUG
rnacentral:rRNA from 1 species